rnacentral:rRNA from 1 species
AAAAGAUGGUUCUGCUAUCACUCUUGGAUGGACCUGCGGUGCAUUAGCUAGUUGGUAAGGUAACGGCUUACCAAGGCAAUGAUGCAUAGCCGAGUUGAGAGACUGAUCGGCCACAUUGGGACUGAGACACGGCCCAAACUCCUACGGGAGGCAGCAGUAGGGAAUCUUCCACAAUGGACGCAAGUCUGAUGGAGCAACGCCGCGUGAGUGAAGAAGGGUUUCGGCUCGUAAAGCUCUGUUGGUAGUGAAGAAAGAUAGAGGUAGUAACUGGCCUUUAUUUGACGGUAAUUACCUAGAAAGUCACGGCUAACUACGUGCCAGCAGCCGCGGUAAUACGUAGGUGGCAAGCGUUGUCCGGAUUUAUUGGGCGUAAAGCGAGUGCAGGCGGUUCAAUAAGUCUGAUGUGAAAGCCUUCGGCUCAACCGGAGAAUUGCAUCAGAAACUGUUGAACUUGAGUGCAGAAGAGGAGAGUGGAACUCCAUGUGCAGCGGUGGAAUGCGUAGAUAUAUGGAAGAACACCAGUGGCGAAGGCGGCUCUCUGGUCUGCAACUGACGCUGAGGCUCGAAAGCAUGGGUAGCGAACAGGAUUAGAUACCCUGGUAGUCCAUGCCGUAAACGAUGAGUGCUAAGUGUUGGGAGGUUUCCGCC